rnacentral:rRNA from 1 species
UUCGGGUCGCCGGCGAGUGGCAAACGGGUGAGUAACGCGUGGAUACCUGUCCUGUGGUGGGGAAUAACGUUUAGAAAUGAACGCUAAUACCGCAUAAGCCCUGCGGGGGAAAGAUUUAUCGCCAUAGGAGGGGUCCGCGUCGGAUUAGCUAGUUGGUGGGGUAACGGCCUACCAAGGCGACGAUCCGUAGCUGGUCUGAGAGGAUGAUCAGCCACACUGGGACUGAGACACGGCCCAGACUCCUACGGGAGGCAGCAGUGGGGAAUAUUGCGCAAUGGAGGAAGCUCUGACGCAGCGACGCCGCGUGGGUGAAGAAGGCCUUAGGGUUGUAAAGCCCUUUCAGUGGGAAAGAUGAUGACGGUACCUACAGAAGAAGCCCCGGCUAACUCCGUGCCAGCAGCCGCGGUAAUACGGAGGGGGCCAGCGUUGUUCGGAAUUACUGGGCGUAAAGGGCGCGUAGGCGGUUGAUCAAG